GUCUGAGAGGAUGAUCAGUCACACUGGAACUGAGACAUGGCUCCAGCGGGAACGGGAGGCAGCAGUGGGGAAUAUUGGACAAUGGGCGAAAGCCUGAUCCAGCCAUGCCGCGUGUGUGAAGAAGGUCUUCGGAUUGUAAAGCACUUUAAGUUGGGAGGAAGGGCAGUAAGCUAAUACCUUGCUGUUUUGACGUUACCGACAGAAUAAGCACCGGCUAACUCUGUGCCAGCAGCCGCGGUAAUACAGAGGGUGCAAGCGUUAAUCGGAAUUACUGGGUGUAAAGCGCGCGUAGGUGGUUCGUUAAGUUGGAUGUGAAAGCCCCGGGCUCAACCUGGGAACUGCAUCCAAAACUGGCGAGCUAGAGUAUGGUAGAGGGUGGUGGAAUUUCCUGUGUAGCGGUGAAAUGCGUAGAUAUAGGAAGGAACACCAGUG
rnacentral:rRNA from 1 species